GCGGCGUCCCAGUGCAACACGCUCCUCCCACCGUAUGAGAGGGAAUGUGUGCACCAGUCUGACCCCCCGGGAGAGGAGUGCAAUAGUUCUUUUUGAAGAAAGAAAUCCAAAGCCCAAGACCUGUCACUCAUCAUGAUGAAGACGGUGGCGGCUGCCAGCAUCUUCUUUCCUGAAGCCGGGCAUCCAUAAAACCACCUGCAGGUGUUGGAGAAACAGGCAAUAAAUGCAGACAAUCUGGAAUCAUUUGCGCAGUCUGGAUGGUUAGGAUGGUGAUGACAUCCUCUCAUGUUGGACUGAGGGCAGACUGGAUGCCACAGUGACUCACUAUUGCCCUUGAAGUAUUUUCUGGAACUUGUUACUGUGAAACUGGCCGUUGGAGACCUAAUACCGCUCUGUUUUUACCAGGAGCUUGUUAACCACAAAACUGGCUGUUGGAGACCUAAUACCAAUCUGUUGUUACCAGAAUAAAUGGUGGUUUGGAG